rnacentral:rRNA from 1 species
GACGAACGCUGGCGGCGUGCUUAACACAUGCAAGUCGAACGGAAAGGCCCUGCUUUUGUGGGGUGCUCGAGUGGCGAACGGGUGAGUAACACGUGAGUAACCUGCCCUUGACUUUGGGAUAACUUCAGGAAACUGGGGCUAAUACCGGAUAGGAGCUCCUGCUGCAUGGUGGGGGUUGGAAAGUUUCGGCGGUUGGGGAUGGACUCGCGGCUUAUCAGCUUGUUGGUGGGGUAGUGGCUUACCAAGGCUUUGACGGGUAGCCGGACUGAGAGGGUGACAGGCCACAUUGGGACUGAGGUGCGACCAAGACUCCUACGGGAGGCAGCAGUGGGGAAUAGUGCACGAUGGGCGGAAGCCUGAUGCAGCAACGCCGCGUGCGGGAUGACGGCCUUCGGGUUGUAAACCGCUUUCGGCUGUGACGAAGCGUGAGUGACGGUAAUGGGUAAAGAAGCAACGGCUAACUACGUG